UUUUUUUUGAAUGGGCCAACUAAUACAUUGAAAAAUUUGGACAAAGAAUGAAUGCUGAUACAACCCUAUAUCCCACCUCCUCCUUACAAUUGUCUAGAAUGCAAUCAGAUCAACUCGGCGGGCGGUGCAUCGGGAAGAACGAAAAAAAAAACGUCACACUAAAUGCUAAACUUAACUCCUAAGAAAAAUAAAGCACAACCUUAAAAGAAAAAAAAAACAAAGCUGAGCAAAUUUAAUCCCUAAGAAUAGGCGCUUUCAUCUUCUCCAGAAAAAAAAAAAAACACUUUCAAAUACCAUUUCCUGCAUAAGAUUUUUUGUCGUUUCAACUGGUGCCUAUUACUUUGGCUACCGAAAUCUUCUUUUCUGUUACCCAGUUCCAUUGUCGCCACUAAGCUCAUCGGAUAUCAACCUUCAAAAUGCAUUCGAACUUAGUUUCUUUCUUUCCUACUUUCCUGCUUCAAAUCUACCCCAUCAUGGUUGACAAAUCUCUCCACUCUUCUUGGGACUUCCUCUAUCCAAUAUAUUGGAACAUUGAAUUGUUGUCCUUCUGCCGCCAAGACAUGUGCCAUUUCAUUUUCCAUCCAUGGCGUCUCCUUCAACACAGGCCUCUCUAAAUCCAAGUUCUUCUGUAAAAAUAACUGCCUGCAAACAUGCCCUUGCUUCUGCCAUGGUCGAGUUCAAGAUGCUCUUCCACGGUGAUGCUCAGGUGACGGUUCGAUGUUUGGAGGGACUCUGGGUGGCCAGUUAGCAAGACAAAUUUGGACUUUUUUUUAAGCUUAUAAGUUUUAUUUUAUUAAGUAUGUUUCAGACCAGAUUGUAAUAAGGUUUUCAUUAUGCUAUUAUUACUUGAAGUAUUAUUAUUUCCAUUGUAACUACAAGAAGUUGAACAUGGGUUUCCUAAAUUAUAGUAUGUUUUCUACGUUUUCGCAA